AUUGAACGCUGGCGGCAGGCCUAACACAUGCAAGUCGAACGGUAACAGGAAGAAGCUUGCUUCUUUGCUGACGAGUGGCGGACGGGUGAGUAAUGUCUGGGAAACUGCCUGAUGGAGGGGGAUAACUACCGGAAACGGUAGCUAAUACCGCAUAACGUCGCAAGACCAAAGAGGGGGACCUUCGGGCCUCUUGCCAUCGGAUGUGCCCAGAUGGGAUUAGCUAGUAGGUGGGGUAACGGCUCACCUAGGCGACGAUCCCUAGCUGGUCUGAGAGGAUGACCAGCCACACUGGAACUGAGACACGGUCCAGACUCCUACGGGAGGCAGCAGUGGGGAAUAUUGCACAAUGGGCGCAAGCCUGAUGCAGCCAUGCCGCGUGUAUGAAGAAGGCCUUCGGGUUGUAAAGUACUUUCAGCGGGGAGGAAGGGAGUAAAGUUAAUACCUUUGCUCAUUGACGUUACCCGCAGAAGAAGCACCGGCUAACUCCGUGCCA
rnacentral:rRNA from 1 species